CGCACAUUGCGCCCUUUGGUAUUCCAUAGGGCAUGCCUGUUCGAGCGUCAUUUAAACCCUCAAGCUCAGCUUGGUGUUGGGUGUUUGUCCCGCCCGCCGCGCGAGGACUCGCCUCAAAAGCAUUGGCAGCCGGGACGUUGGCUUUGAGCGCAGCAGAAUAGCGCCCCUGGCCUCGUUGUCCGGUUCUCCAGGAAGCCUGUACCUCCAUGUCUUGACCUCGGAUCAGGUAGGGAUACCCGCUGAACUUAA
rnacentral:misc_RNA from 1 species